GUGGGGAAUAUUGGACAAUGGGCGAAAGCCUGAUCCAGCCAUGCCGCGUGUGUGAAGAAGGUCUUCGGAUUGUAAAGCACUUUAAGUUGGGAGGAAGGGCAGUAAGUUAAUACCUUGCUGUUUUGACGUUACCGACAGAAUAAGCACCGGCUAACUUCGUGCCAGCAGCCGCGGUAAUACGAAGGGUGCAAGCGUUAAUCGGAAUUACUGGGCGUAAAGCGCGCGUAGGUGGUUUUGUAAGUUGGAGGUGAAAUCCCCGGGCUCAACCUGGGAACUGCCUCCAAAACUGCAUGAUUAGAGUACGGUAGAGGGUAGUGGAAUUUCCUGUGUAGCGGUGAAAUGCAUAGAUAUAGGAAGGAACACCAGUGGCGAUGGCGACUACCUGGACUGAUACUGACACUGAGGUGCGAAAGCGUGGGGAGCAAACAGGAUUAGAAACCCCAGUAGUCC
rnacentral:rRNA from 1 species